rnacentral:misc_RNA from 1 species
ACGAACGAGGUUGGUGCAUUGAUCACGCAGGUUCAAGCACCGCCGAGGGUGCCGACGCGUGGACCGAGACGGUCCCGUGGCGUUUGUCCGAGGCGGUGCCGUACUCCUCGUGAACACGGACCAGCGGCGGUUGGACCGGAGCCACAAGGCGGCAGCGGAAGGUGAGUCGGCGUGGGCUUGUCUCGCGCGGACAGCUUAUAGCCCUGCCGUUCGGUGCUCCGGUGCGACCGAGGAAGAAGGGCAGCCCUUGCCCGUGGUGGUGCACGCCGUAUGGCGGGGCCUCCCGAUCCGAGUGAGCCGUGCGGUGUGGACUGCGUGCAGUGCUAAUCGUGGCGGCGAUCUCGGGUCGGAGAGUGUCACUUGU